UUCUCCAGAGACCGCGUGGUGUUAGCACCUGGAGACUCGGGUGGGUUGUUCCCACUGUGUCAGCCGCUUGCAUCAAGAGGAGAAAAGCAGGAUGAUACAGGCAAACAAAAACAGGGAGCUCUGUAUUUGCCAGAAAUUGCAUCGUGAUGCAUUUUACUGACAAGGGUCCGACCAAAUAGCCACCUGCAGACUGUCCAGCCAAGCACCAGAGCAACUUCUAGCAGCCAGUCAGCACCAAAGGCACAGAAUUUCUACGUGACAGCCUGAAGGCUGUACUGCACCGAGCAUCAGAGCAACAGAGGCACAGGACUGCUGUAAUGCCUUGAACUGAAUGACUAAGUCUUCAGCACUGUUUAGACUUACAGUGACUUACAGAGGUGAGCUUCUCUGCCACAUCAGUUAUCUAGUCUUUUUUUAAUGAAAUGUAAAAUUAUGCUUAUAUUUUUGCUAUGCGAUUAAACUGCAGCACAUACUUAUAUAGUGAUUUUAAAAGACAAAAAAAAAUACAGGUCUGGAAAACAAAGAUCGACUAACCUGGACA